rnacentral:sRNA from 1 species
GAAUUCGACAUGUGUAAUUUAUUCUUCAUAUAUUUUGAAGAAAUCGCCCCUGAAAUAGGAAAUCUGUGACGAACAGGCAGCCUUGAAUAAGACCCUGGCGCUACAAAACUAAGUAUAAUAGGAUCCAGCAUAAAAACACGACUCUGCACUCCGAAGCUAGUUCCAGUAAGAACGCACAAGCCUAUAUUGGUAUUGAUUGCAUCCAAAGCUUAAGCUGGACCGCGAGUAGGACUCGGUUAGCCGGCAACUCAUCAACCCGUGGCUGAAGCUGCUGAAGAUCACGCAAUUAUCCCGGCUUUAUGAGAAAGAGGCAGCUGGCGUUGUCCAAUCCAUCGUGCACAACCAUCAUCGACGGUUCAGUUGAACGGCAUCGAUUCAACGUAGCAGAACAGAACAUAGCGCAAGAAGCCAAGUGAGUGGACACGCCGUGCGGUAAUAGUGUGGCAAGGGCUGUUGUCGAGGAAAAUAAGGAAAGCACUGAUGGGAAGAAAGCCUCUGGAAACGACGACGAACGCAAUGCGGAGGAAAACAAAGUCAGAACCUCACAUACAACUGUUCUCGAUUUAAACGAGGAUUGCUGGAUAGUGCUAAUGGAGUAUCUGGACGUAGAAGACCAGCUAAGGCUCGCAUCAUCGAACGUGUGUAUCGGAGAGAUGGUCAAGAGAUACGCAAGCCACCGCUACAAACAUUGAUAAAAACUCAUCAAAAGGAUUGGCAACGAAGAUAUUGGAACAGAUUGCAGAUUGUUAGGGAGCAUAGCUAACCUAUGAAGAAUAUGGGCGAUGCGCAACUGAUGCUUUUACGGAGACACUGUACGAAUAUAGAAUAUUUUAAAAAUGAGAUUUGAGCAGCCUAAUAAAGCUCACAUUUUUGCGCGCUAUUCUGCCAAUGAAUGAUAGCUUGUGUACGGAUUUUGUUUAAAAUAUCAAGCAAUUCACGUGUCUACGGAACCUGAAGUUGAAAGCUUCCUACAUGGAGGUAGCGGAUUGUAUUCGUGGACGUUGACAUGCAAUGACUGCAUCUUUCAAGAGGCGAUGCAGUUACUGCACCGUCAAGUGGCCCGU